AGCCUGAUGCAGCCAUGCCGCGUGUGUGAAGAAGGCCUUCGGGUUGUAAAGCACUUUCAGUUGUGAGGAAAGGUUAGUAGUUAAUACCUGCUAGCUGUGACGUUAACAACAGAAGAAGCACCGGCUAACUCCGUGCCAGCAGCCGCGGUAAUACGGAGGGUGCGAGCGUUAAUCGGAAUUACUGGGCGUAAAGCGUACGCAGGCGGUUUGUUAAGCGAGAUGUGAAAGCCCCGGGCUCAACCUGGGAACUGCAUUUCGAACUGGCAAACUAGAGUGUGAUAGAGGGUGGUAGAAUUUCAGGUGUAGCGGUGAAAUGCGUAGAGAUCUGAAGGAAUACCGAUGGCGAAGGCAGCCACCUGGGUCAACACUGACGCUCAUGUACGAAAGCGUGGGGAGCAAACGGGAUUAGAUACCCCGGUAGUCCACGCCGUAAACGCUACAGUAUUAAGAGUUCGGUUUUUCGGAACUGUCUUCCAAAGCUAACGCAUUAAGUAGACCGCCUGG
rnacentral:rRNA from 1 species